rnacentral:rRNA from 1 species
CCAAUAGCGUAUAUUAAAGUUGUUGCAGUUAAAAAGCUCGUAGUUGAAUUUUGGAUUCUGCCAAUUGGUCCAUCUUUUAGAUGAGUACUGGUUGUGUGGGGUCUAUCCGCCUGGUGAUACGUAAUGUCCUUUAUUGGAUGUUGCGGGUAGUCAGGACCUUUACCUUGAAAAAAUUAGAGUGUUUAAAGCAGGCUUAUGCCGGAAUACAUUAGCAUGGAAUAAUAGAAUAGGACGAAGUUGUUUUAUUUUGUUGGUUUCUAGGACAACCGUAAUGAUUAAUAGGGAUAGUUGGGGGCAUUAGUAUUCAAUUGUCAGAGGUGAAAUUCUUGGAUUUAUUGAAGACUAACUACUGCGAAAGCAUUUGCCAAGGAUGUUUUCAUUAAUCAAGAACGAAAGUUAGGGGAUCGAAGACGAUCAGAUACCGUCGUAGUCUUAACCAUAAACUAUGCCGACUAGGGAUCGGGCGAUGUUGUUUCCAUGACUCGCUCGGCACCUUAUG